rnacentral:rRNA from 1 species
GACGAACGCUGGCGGCGGGCUUAACACAUGCAAGUCGAACGGAAAGGCCCUGCUUUUGUGUGGUGCUCGAGUGGCGAACGGGUGAGUAACACGUGAGUAACCUUCCCUUGACGUUGUGAUAACUGCAGGAAACUGGUGCUAAUACCGGAUAGGAGCGCCUGCUGCAGGGUGGUGGUUGGAAAGUAUCGGCGGAGGGGGAUGGAGUCGCGGCUUAUCAGCUUGUGGGUGGGGUAUUGGCUUACCAAGGCUUUGACGGGUAGCCGGCCUGAGAGGGUGACCGGCGACAUUGGGACUGAGAUACGGCGCAGACUCCUACGGGAGGCAGCGGUGGGGAAUAUUGCACAAUGGGCGGAAGCCUGAUGAAGCAACGCCGCGUGCGGGAUGACGGCCUUCGGGUUGUAAACCGCUUUCGCCUGUGACGAAGCGUGAGUGACGGUAAUGGGUAAAGAAGCACCGGCUAACUACGUG